CAGCACCUCAAGUGGUCAGGAUGAUUAUUGGGCCUAAAGCAUCCGUAGCCUGCUUUGUUAGUUUUCGGUUAAAUCCAUACGCUCAACGUAUGGGCUGCCGGGAAUACUGCAAAGCUAGGGAGUGGGAGAGGUAGACGGUACUCGGUAGGAAGGGGUAAAAUCCUUUGAUCUAUUGAUGACCACCUGUGACGAAGGCGGUCUACCAGAACACGUCCGACGGUGAGGGAUGAAAGCUGGGGGAGCAAACCGGAUUAGAGACCCGAGUAGUCC
rnacentral:rRNA from 1 species